GGAAGGAUCAUUAACACUAAUCCAUCUACCUAAACUUAGCCUUUAGUUGCAGAGUAGUGCGGCUUGCUUGCAGGCUUGUUCUGCUUCUGCAUCUUACAUAACUAACUAUUCAAAGGAGUAUAACUAAGCUCAAACAUAAAAACCAAAUUCUCAACGAUGGAUAUCUUGGUUCCCAUAACGAUGAAGAACGCAGCGAAGUGCGAUAAGCAGUGCGAAUUGCAGAACCGUGAGUCAUCAGAUUUUUGAACGCAACUGGCGCCGGCUGGCUCUCCAGUCGGCAUGCUUGUUUCAGUGUCUUGUUUUCUCCUCACCCAAAUCUUAAUGCUGGAGAUACCCUUCUCUGGUUAAGUACGAAAGCACUCUGAGCUCUGCAGGUGAUCUCGGCUUGUCUGAGGGUCACACUCAAUGCAGCAGUCACAUUUUACAGUGUGAACUCAUUGAGAGUAGAACCAGCGCAGCUUGUCUGCAAGUGCUUAGGCAUCCAAACUUACAUUGUAUCUGAGAUCAAGCAGGACCACCCGCUGAACUUAAGCAUAUCACUAAGCGGAGGAAAAGAAAUUAACUAAGAUUGCCUCAGUAACGGCGAGUGAAGCGGCAAAAGCCCAAACUGGAAAUCUUCACUUUUUAAGUGACGAAUUGUAAUCUAAAGGAGAGAUUCUCACCGGGCGGUGGCGCAGAAGUUCCUUAGAACGGGACGCCAGAGAGGGUGACAGCCCCGUAUGUGGUGCCACUGCCUAACGAGAACUUUUCAAAGAGUCGGUUUGUUUUGAAUUGCAGACCUAAGCUGGAGAUAGACUUCUUCUAAGGCUAAAUAUAUAUGGGAAACCGAUAGCGAACAAGUACUGUGAAGGAAAGAUGAAAAGAACUUUGAAAAGAGAGUCAAAAGACUUGAAAUCGUUGAGAAGGAAGCGGUAGAAAUUUAUUCUUCGUCUGAGAAUGAAGGUGUUCAUCAAACCAUUGGGGCUUGCCAGCACUUCAAAAGGCUGCUUGUUUCACCUGGGGAAGUGAUAGCUGGAUUCUCAGUCGUGAGGCAAAAUGAGGCUUCGCAUCCACAUAAGCUUGGGAACAAGGCUCUGCCGCUGUUUCCUCUGCUGGUGGGCGUGGAGCCUGAGGGGCUUAGUGCGAUUUUGCUAAAAUGGUUUUUACCGACCCGUCUUGAAACACGGACCAAGGAGUCUAACAUAUAUGCAAGUGUGAUGGUGGAAAAACCAACACGCGAAAUGAAAGUGAUCGAUGCCAAGCGCAAGCAGCAGCAUCGGCCGACCAUGAUCCUCUGGUGAAAGGUUUGAGUAUGAGCAUAUAUGCUAGGACCCGAAAGAUGGUGAACUAUGCCUGGGUAGGGUGAAGCCAGGGGAAACUCUGGUGGAGGCUCGUAGCGGUUCUGACGUGCAAAUCGAUCGUCAAACUUGGGUAUAGGGGCGAAAGACUAAUCGAACCAUCUAGUAGCUGGUUCCCUC
rnacentral:misc_RNA from 1 species